UAAGGAAUAUUGGACAAUGGUCGGAAGACUGAUCCAGCCAUGCCGCGUGAAGGAAGAAGGCGCUCAGCGUUGUAAACUUCUUUUGGACGGGAAUAACAACUUCCACGUGUUGGGAGCCUGAAGGUACCGUCAGAAUAAGCACCGGCUAACUCCGUGCCAGCAGCCGCGGUAAUACGGAGGGUGCGAGCGUUAUCCGGAAUCACUGGGUUUAAAGGGUGCGUAGGCGGUUUGAUAAGUCAGUUGUGAAAUA
rnacentral:rRNA from 1 species